UGGGGAAUUUUGGACAAUGGGGGAAACCCUGAUCCAGCCAUCCCGCGUGUGCGAUGAAGGCCUUCGGGUUGUAAAGCACUUUUGGCAGGAAAGAAACGUCGCGGGUUAAUACCCCGCGAAACUGACGGUACCUGCAGAAUAAGCACCGGCUAACUACGUGCCAGCAGCCGCGGUAAUACGUAGGGUGCAAGCGUUAAUCGGAAUUACUGGGCGUAAAGCGUGCGCAGGCGGUUCGGAAAGAAAGAUGUGAAAUCCCAGAGCUUAACUUUGGAACUGCAUUUUUAACUACCGGGCUAGAGUGUGUCAGAGGGAGGUGGAAUUCCGCGUGUAGCAGUGAAAUGCGUAGAUAUACGGAGGAACACCGAUGGCGAAGGCAGCCUCCUGGGAUAACACUGACGCUCAUGCACGAAAGCGUGGGGAGCAAACAGGAUUAGAUACCCUGGUAGUCCACGCCCUAAACGAUGUCAACUAGCUGUUGGGGCCUUCGGGCCUUGGUAGCGCAGCUAACGCGUGAAGUUGACCGCCUGGGGAGUACGGUCGCAAGAUUAAAACUCAAAUGAAUUGAC
rnacentral:rRNA from 1 species